rnacentral:sRNA from 1 species
UACAUACAAAUAUAAAAUAAAUAUACUCUGGUCAACCUUGAAACACUUGUGCUAGAAAAGCUGAGUUUGGAUGAAAAGUUAUAUGAAGUUCCCGGGGUAGUUUGUCUAUUAAAUAUUUUGCAUAGUAGUUAUAUUAUGUGCCCAUUUUUUUAAGAUAAAAAAAAUACAGUUUCUCCAUUCCAUAGGGGUAGUUCCCUGUGAGUAUUGUAACAAAGCACUGUCACCCUGUGGCUCAUAGCACUAGAAACUGAUUCAUUCACAGUGUUGGAGUCAAAAAGCCUCGAAUCAGUGUCCCCAGCCAAAAUCAAGGUGCUAGUAGGGACCUGCCUUCUCUGCUGCUUUACAGAGAAUACUUAUUUCUUUGCCCCUCUGCUUCUCUAGGCUGCUAUUCUUGGAUAUGGGGCCACAUCAUGCCAGACUCCAAGGCUUGUACCAGCAAACCUAUCUUUUCUCCCAUGUGCUCCUGAUCAAUCAUUUCUGACCCAGUCUUGACCUCUGAACAUCAGGUUACUUCGUUUCUUCAUGUCUUCAAAAUACUUUUCUCAUUCAAGGGGAAGGUGAUGGCUGCUGAAGAAGUAACCGGUUUUUUAUUUGGAGUCUGUGAAACUUGAGAUUCUACUGAAAAGGAGAGGCUCAUGGAGAUGGGAAGCCAAGAAAAUGGCUUCCUUUAUCUGUCUGUCCUGCCUGUGCUUAGGAGUUGUGCCUUGCUGUUCCUGCUAAUUCUACACAAACCUCUUCAACAACGUGCUGUUGCUCAGUCUCUUCUACUCUUUGGCUCGUGAUAGCAGCUCACAAUUUGGUGGUGAUCCCAGACAUCAAACACUUCCAAGUGAUCUGACUACAGGACCCAUCUGUGGUAGGAUGUCUCCUAAUCUCUCAGGAAUGCUGGUUCUUUAAACCUGGCUGAGGACUCACUUGAGGAUGUUCAAGGAGGAAAGUGGGGCUUUAUAAGCCUAUUAAUUAGUCAGGCCAGAGCCCUAGCUGUGGUCUGACUGUCCCAGUGCCUUCUCAGGAGGCUUUGCAUAAAGCCCACAACUUUCCCCGGGCCUGGGUUUCUGAAGGAAAAGACCUGGAGUAACACACGGAUGUGUGAGGACACAGGUGUACAAACCCACCAGGGCACUUGUCUUCUCUGAAUGGUGUCAUGUAUUCAGGAUGCAAGAUGCCUGGGAACCACGGGGUCUCACUUCGAGAGGCUCACCUUCCUCCUCUAUGCCGAGGAUGGUUGUACUUGCCUUGUGAGCUGCUCAGACUGUAAGUGAAGAAUGUAGGAAAGGAACAUGCAUUAGUUAUCAAUAACAGCAUUAUCAGCAACAGCAAGGGUUCAGAAAACACCACCAGUCAUUGUCAGUGUUUCAAGGGGUAGCAGAUGUUAUAGAUAAUAAAGGAGAUCAUGCGACAGCUGCUUGUUUGCUAGGACUUUCAUCUUUAAGGACUUUAAAAUUUUUUCUUUAACAAACAAAAUAAAAACAAACAAAACAACACCCCAACCCCCCCAAAAAAAACCUGUCAGGAAUGGGGCAAUAAACCCUAACAUACUUUUCAAAAGACAUUAAAUAGCCAACAGUAUAGGAAAAGAGGCUCCUUUAAAAAAAAUCAACAGGGUAAUGCAAAUCAAACUCAGAAUGGCAACUCAGGCUCACAAAGGAUGGUUAUUAUCAGCUAUAACAAGUGCUGUGAGAUAUGGGGAAAAUGGGACCCCAUCCAAUGCCAGUGAGAAUGUAAAUUAGUACACUAGUGGUGGUGGGAAAGUAUAUGGAGCUUCUUCAAAACAAAACAAAAACAGAACUGUUUGGGAACCCAGUAGCCCUACUCUGCAGAUGCAGUCAAAGAAAAUGAAGGCGGUGUAGUGAGACGGCUACACUUCCAUUCACAGUGAGCACUAGACACAGAAGCCGAGAAAGGCAGAGAAACUCAACUGCUCUCGCCAACCCCAAUGGAUACAAAAAUACCAUGCACGCACACAGAGAGAUGCCAUUCAUCCGUAAAAAAGGAAGAAAUAGUGAUAUUUGUUCCAUAGCUGUAACUGGAGAUGACCGUAUGUAGUAAAUGAAACACUCCAGGCACAGAGAGACAAAGAGCAUGUGACUGCCUCACUCACUUGGAAUCCAGAUAGCGUUGAUCUCAUAGCAGUGCAGAGCAGAAGGGUAGCUGCGAGAGACUGAAGGGGAUGUGGACUGGUGAUGCAGUACUGAGCCACUUCUCGGCAGUAGCAUGAAGUUCUGCUGCUGCUGCGCGGUGAGGUGACCGCAGAUAAUGGCUCGUUUCACACAGCACGAGCUACCCGCCAGAAAAGGAUCUGAAAGUGUGAGCCAUGAUGCUUUCAAUCGAGGAAUGACUGAAGCAUCAUGUAAGGUACACCUGAAUCAAACAUCUUGAUAUUUCAUAAAUAUGUAUGUGUUAAUGUUUACGUUGUCAACAGAACCAUCUUGAGAAUGCUGUACAAUGAGCAGUACUAUGUAGUUUCUUUUGUUAAUAUGACUUCAGCCUGAAAGUAAGUCACCACAUUCCUCUUUAAUAAGGAAACUAUGAAGACAGACCUGGUCACAGUGCUGAGGGCAAGUGACUGAUGGGCAUUCAACCAUAAAUGGUACAUCAUCCCUCCAAGGCCCACAAGGAAGAAAGGUAGAAAGACUAAGAAGAGGGGGGUGGAGAGGUGUGCAUGGAAUUCAACCAUCCACCUGUGGCAUGGCCAUUGCAACCCCAAACACUUGUGGACACAGACACAAGAGUGGGCCCUCUGCACUGCCUCUUACACAGAGGGUCACCCAAAGGACUCACCCCUCCCUGAGGAGCUAUUGACUAUUACAUGUUGAUGGUUGCUACAGAAGGGAGUGGCAUCUUCUUGGAUGGUAUAGCCACUGGGGGCCUAGUUGAGAAGAAGGAGGAAAGGGGUAGGGGGUGUCGAAUACAGUCACACACAUUGUGUGUUAUGAAACUAUCAGAAUGGUUUUUAAAAGAAUGCUGCUGGUUUUUUGCUGCCAGCCUGGAGGAAUUAUGGUUUAGGUUUGGGGAAUUUGGAUAUUACUCCAGAAAUUGCUGAGGCAAUUAAUCAUUUCGAGGAUGUCUAAACAGUGCUCACCCAUCAGGCAAGGAGCCACGGCAGACCCACAGCCAAGGCCCAACACCAAGAAGAGAUGAGAUACUCUUUGGAAAUAUUUAUAGAAAUUU